rnacentral:rRNA from 1 species
UGUAAGCGUAUACCAAAGUUGUUGCAGUUAAAACGCUCGUAGUCGGACUUUGGCAGUUCCGGAUGUGUGCACGUCGUGUGCGCACUUCGCGGGGAUUGCUUUUGUGGUCUUGCGUAGGAUGAGGCACUUUUAUUAGUGAACGUCCUCACGCAACCACUUUUUACUGUGAGAAAAUCAGAGUGCUCAAAGCAGGCAUUUGCCGUGAAGGUAUUAGCAUGGAAUAAUAGAAUAGGACUUGGUUCUAUUUUGUUGGUUUGUUGGGACUGAGUAAUGAUUAAGAGGGACAGUUGGGGGCAUUUGUAUUUCGGUGCUAGAGGUGAAAUUCUUAGAUUACCGAAAGACAAACUGCUGCGAAAGCGUCUGCCAAGGAUGUUUUCAUUGA